GCGGGAAUAGCUCAGUUGGUAGAGCACGACCUUGCCAAGGUCGGGGUCGCGAGUUCGAGUCUCGUUUCCCGGGUCGGGGUCGCGAGUUCGAGUCUCGUUUCCCGCUCCA
rnacentral:tRNA from 1 species